UGUGGCUGAGGAGGCUGACGGCCAGGAAGCCUGGAUCCAGGCGGCCCACUCCGACACCGUGUCCCUCUGUGCACGGGCUCUGGGUGCCGCCUCGAGCCAGGAGACUUCCCCGGGCCAAACCCCCACAGAAGUGGCUGACCCUGACCACCCUCGUGGGGCUAGGCUGCCCCGGUUGGCUGCCCCAGCCGCUGGCGCCAACGACAGGAUCGUCCUCCGCCCUACUGAGGCCAAGCCCCCCACAUAGACCCCCAGUGUCCUUCACAGUGGAUCUGCGGGACGCCCCGCUGAGCUCCGCCCCCUCGUCCCGGAAUGCCGCUGCCUCCGCCCGCCGCCGGGUGCCCAGAGAGGUCCGCCUCCGUCCCGAGGCGGACCUCUCUGGGACGGAGCGCUCCCAGUUCGCCAACGGCCAGAGGUCCCAGGCCCCAGGCAGCCCGCCGGCCUCUGACGUUCCUGAAGGCGUGGCGGGCAGAGGUAAGUACGCGUUGAGCCCGUUUCCCCCUGUGCAGGAGCGUCUGAGGAACGGCAGGAUCCCCCGGGAGAAGCUCCGGGGCCCGCCCCCCCACCAGGCAGGGGAAGAGGCCGGGCCCUCUGGGAAGAGGCAGAAGAACGGGGGCCGCUGUUUCCCCGACCAGAGGUUGACCGCUGAGCCCGAGCUGGAGGAGAAGCUGUUG
ensembl:lncRNA